rnacentral:rRNA from 1 species
GACGAACGCUGGCGGCGUGCUUAACACAUGCAAGUCGAACGGAAGGGCCCUGCUUUUGUGGGGUGCUCGAGUGGCGAACGGGUGAGUAACACGUGAGUAACCUUCCCUUGACUUGGGGAUAACUUCAGGAAACUGGGGCUAAUACCGGAUAGGAGCUCCUGCUGCAUGGUGGGGGUUGGAAAGUUUCGGCUGUUGGGGAUGGACUCGCGGCUUAUCAGCUUGUUGGUGGGGGAGUGGCUUACCAAGGCUUUGACGGGUAGCCGGCCUGAGAGGGUGACCGGCCACAUUGGGACUAAGAUACGGCCCAGACUCCUACGGGAGGCAGCAGUGGGGAAUAUUGCACAAUGGGCGGGAGCCUGAGGAAGAAACGCCGCGUGCGGGAUGACGGCCUUCGGGUUGUAAACCGCUUUAGCCUGUGACGAAGCGGGAGUGACGGUAAUGGGUAAAGAAGCACCGGCUAACUACGUG